AGUCGAACGCGUUGGCCCAAUUGAUUGAUGGUGCUUGCACCUGAUUGAUUUUGGUCGCCAACGAGUGGCGGACGGGUGAGUAACACGUAGGUAACCUGCCCAGAAGCGGGGGACAACAUUUGGAAACAGAUGCUAAUACCGCAUAACAGCGUUGUUCGCAUGAACAACGCUUAAAAGAUGGCUUCUCGCUAUCACUUCUGGAUGGACCUGCGGUGCAUUAGCUUGUUGGUGGGGUAACGGCCUACCAAGGCGAUGAUGCAUAGCCGAGUUGAGAGACUGAUCGGCCACAAUGGGACUGAGACACGGCCCAUACUCCUACG
rnacentral:rRNA from 1 species